GCAGACACAUUCCAGCCAAUCAGCAGCAGACCCUCCCUCCCAGACCCUCCCACCUCCUGGACAGCAUCCAUUUUACAUUCAUUGUGAAGCUGCAUUCUUAGUGAGCUGUCCAGGAGGUGGGAGGGUCUGGAAGGGAGGGUCUGCUGCUGAUUGGCUGGAAUGUGUCUG